AUGGGCAUGCAUUGAGAAAUUAGAGAGAGGUUUUACCAUGGAAAACCUGAGAGAAAAUUAAGGGAGGGCAUGAGGUCUUGGAUGGCCGGCUCUCUUAGUGUGUUACCCUUAGGAUUCAUCUAAGGUUUGGGAAAAGAAGGAAAUAAGAAAAUAGUGUCUUGCCUAUUUUUCUUCCACCAUAAUCUCCUACUAAUGAUCCUUCUUCAACCUCUGAAAGUGUUUAAGAGAUCUGAAGGAAGGAACCAGAUUAGCAUUCAAUAUGGUCUUCGCACGAGCUAG
rnacentral:lncRNA from 1 species